AGUGAACGCUGGCGGUAGGCCUAACACAUGCAAGUCGAACGGCAGCACAGUAAGAGCUUGCUCUUACGGGUGGCGAGUGGCGGACGGGUGAGGAAUACAUCGGAAUCUACUUUUUCGUGGGGGAUAACGUAGGGAAACUUACGCUAAUACCGCAUACGACCUACGGGUGAAAGCAGGGGAUCUUCGGACCUUGCGCGAUUGAAUGAGCCGAUGUCGGAUUAGCUAGUUGGCGGGGUAAAGGCCCACCAAGGCGACGAUCCGUAGCUGGUCUGAGAGGAUGAUCAGCCACCCUGGAACUGAGACACGGUCCAGACUCCUACGGGAGGCAGCAGUGGGGAAUAUUGGACAAUGGGCGCAAGCCUGAUCCAGCCAUACCGGGUGGGUGAAGAAGGCCUUCGGGUUGUAAAGCCCUUUUGUUGGGAAAGAAAAGCAGCAGGUUAAUACCCCGCUGUUCUGACGGUACCCAAAGAAUAAGCACCGGCUAACUUCGUG
rnacentral:rRNA from 1 species